rnacentral:piRNA from 1 species
UGAGUGAUGCUGAUAUAUACUGCUUU